GACGAACCGUGCGAACGUUGUUCGGAAUCACUGGGCUUAAAGGGCGCGUAGGCAGCUUGGCAAGUCAGGGGUGAAAUCUUUCGGCCCAACCGGAAAAGUGCCUCUGAUACUGCCGAGCUCGAGGGAGGUAGGGGCAGACGGAACUUCCGGUGGAGCGGUGAAAUGCGUUGAUAUCGGAAGGAACGCCGGUGGCGAAAGCGGUCUGCUGGCCCUCCACUGACGCUGAGGCGCGAAAGCCAGGGGAGCAAACGGG
rnacentral:rRNA from 1 species